AGUUAGGAUGAUGCCAUCAUGGCAGUCGACCCAAUAGACGCUGACGCAGUAUAGAAAAUAGGUGGGGAGAAUGUGGGAUGGAAACUUAACACAACAGGAGGAUAGAUACUUGUGCCCGGAGAUAAGCAUGAUGAUCCCAAGACCCAAGUGUAGGAUUUGAAUUCAAAAAGAUCUUAGCCGACCCCUUUCCUGAGAUAUUAUUUACCUGCAUGCUCUGUAGUCUGUCUCUCUGCUCUUACUCUAAGCUCAGCUUGUCCAUUAGUGCGAGUGAAGAGGUGAAACUAUCCAGAUCCAUCAUCAACAAGCAGUUAUUUACAAGUAUGAAUUAAUGAUGUUUUAUUUAAAUCCAGUCGAUCGGCAGUAAAGAGGUUAAAUGUUCAAGAUUAAUCAGCAGCUAGCCCAUGUCAACGGCCAUCAACUAUUUACAACUCAAGUUACAUUUUACCAGAUCCAUCAAUAGCCAUCAGCAGUUAUUUACAAGAAUGAAUUCGUAAGAAAUCCAGUCGACCGGCAGUGAAGAGGUAGUGUACCAAGAUUAAUCACGGCCAUCAAAUAUAUACAACUCCUGUUUCGGGUUACAUAUUUACAGUCCAAUCUAAAAUAAUAACAGAACUUUGCCAAACAGUGAAGAGAUGAAUUUCUAAAAUCAAUCAACGUCCAUGGUCUAUCUGAAAUGAGAAAAAGAACUGGGUAAACAUAAAUAAAUCAGCCGGUUAGUAGAAGAAGCCCCUUUCCCCGAGGCCAUGAUGAGCCCACGAUAAUGAUUUUAGUAGCCUAUUGUCUGUGAUUGUUGAGAAUAGAAUCUCAGAUCAUCUAUUCUUUAGAUUUAGGGAGAUGGUUGACGACUAUUAGGCUACUAUCGCUAUGAAAUUUUCAAAGGAUUACGAUGUUAUACCUGACUUGGAGUGUAUUACUCCAUGUACCUGAUAACCAGGCAACUUACCAAUGAAUUUAUACUUUAUAGUUUUUUACACUGGAAAAUGAUUAAAAUCAUUUUCCAGUGUAUUAACAGAAUUUACAUGAAAAAGUUACAACACUUUUUUCUGAAGCACCACACGCUGAUUACCAGUGGCACUGUCGUUUCCCUGAAAAUAAAAGAAAAAAUUUGUGCAUUGGUUUAGUUUUGAGACGGUCCCUAAAAUCGUGCAUUGGUUUAGUUUUGAGACGGUCCCUAAAAUCGUGUAUUGGUUUAGUUUUGAGACGGUCCCUAUAACAAUCUUGAUACUAGAGGCGCUGGUGUCGUUUGAUGAUGUCAUUUUCGUAAAUUCGGCAGUCUUCGCGUGUCCUAAUGUAUGUUCGGACAUGGUCGAGAUUUAUAAGGUCGAAUUUAAAAUCUAGAAGCUAUUUUGAUUGGUUAAGGAAAGGAGCCGGUGACCUUGCGUCCCAGCGUCCGCACGCGGCAUCGGAUGGCAGCAUGAGCUUUAAGAUGCCGUCCUCGUUCCUCACAGCACACACCAGAAGAUUAUAGACCAUGUCAUCUUAUUGUGCCAAUCCAUGAUUAUGAUAAGUAUUAAUGAUUAGUCUUUAAAAUUUUAUACACCUUUUCAUUUUUCGUCGUCCGCUUCUUCAGAGCUUGCAAGACGUUCGACGUUCAUUCAUGCACAUGUGCGAUGUGGGGCAUAUGUCAGAUGUGUAUUGCACGCAAUGCAUGGCGCGCGACAUGGACUGUCAGUCAUGCUGUCGGCUGUGUGCAUGUGUGGUUGGCCAAGGCCAUGGCCCACAUCAUGACAUGGGGAUGGGGGUCAAGACACUACGAUGGAGAAAUGUAGGGACUGGAGCUGGUAGGGAGGAUUGAUCAAGAAUGACAAGCAUGACAAGGAGGCUGUGUCAGAUUAGUGCCUUGGUCGAAGUUGGACUUCAUGACUCAUUGACUGAGUGGUCAUCAUGACUAUCUCGGUUUUUACUUUUGCCUUUCCCUUUGGUGGGGUUUGUCAGUGCCUUGGCUGGGGGAACAUGAUUCCGUGGCCUGUGAGUGUGAUUUGUGCAAUAGGGGAGGCCUGAGUCACUAAAUGUAACGCCUCCGUUUCAUAAAAGUAGCCUAUUACAAAUAGGCCUUAAAUACAAUGUGGGCCUACUCGUAAGUCGUAUGAAAAAUGUAGGCCUCGGACUACUUCUCAAUCUGUAACGUCGUACGAUAUUGUAUCGCCACUUUUUACAGGGGUCUAGCGUCAUGACGUAAAUACUAAAUGGCCUAGCCUACCGCAACCUAUGAAUAUAAGUAAAUUAAGACCUAUGCUAAGUGACUUGCCUUCUUCUGCUUGAAAUCCCAGUGAUUUUCUUCCUCACAUUCACUGUCGACAUUCUCCGUUCCAGGAUCGAGGUCGAGCAGGAAUCCCAUCUCCUGUUCAUUUGCAUCUUCAGUUGUACCGGUAGGAAUAUGGUCUUCUACUAUUGAGAAGCAGUUGACUGGCCCACAGUCAAUUAGACCAACAUCAUCAUUAUCAUCAUCAUCAUCUUCCUCCUGAACGUUGAUUGGGGCCUGCAAAUGGAAAGUGUGACUGACAUCAACCAAUCUGGACCGUGGACUGGAGAAGAAUUUGAGUGGUGCUAGAAAUGCUUGGAUGGUCCCUCCCGGCUUGACAAUCCAUUGUUCAUUUGCAUAUAUUGGCCGUUGAUGCCGCAACUUCAAUCCCCGGGAGUCCAUCACAAAAAUCCGAUUCAUUUUCUGCAAUAGAAUGUAAUCUAAUUAAUUUUAAAGGAAUUAAUCACAAGGAAUUGGGUUUCUUGCUGAAGUGCGCUCCCUUGCUAACUUGAAUCAGAAGGUUGAUGAGAGACAGGGCCAUGUACCGCACCGAAUGAUUGAAGUACAACGUCAAUGACUGAGGAACAGGAAGUCGGUUAGAGACGAUCAUGUCCCCCACCGAACUAUUGACAUACAAAAAUGAUUGAGAAGAAGAGUUUUGAUUUGGAAUGGAAGAAACAAUGAAGUGACUGAGGAAGUCGGUUAGAGACGGCCAUGUCCCCCACCGAACGCUUGGAAUACAACAGUGUUUGAGAAGAAGAGUUUUUGUUUGGAAGAAGCAAUGAAGUAGUGGUCUCAGUUCUGACAAUAUGACAGAGCCGGUCUUCAUUUACCAUCACAUGAGGGUGAAAGGCAAAGUCCGGAUCACCUCCAGAAUCUCCUGCUGUCUUGGCCCGCGACAGAGCAACGAACAGAGCGCCAGGAUUUCUAGACUCGAAAGCUCUUGUCCCGGGAUGAAUGACAAUGUAACGGUGAACCAUACUUACUAAUGCAGAAAAACUAUGGCUGAGAUGAUCGGACUGCAAUCAUGAAGUUACAUCCAUGGAGACAGGAUUUGGACAGAAGGUCUCAUUCGUGCGAAAGGAAACGAAACGAAAAGGCGCAGGAAUAACCCGAAUGUGCCAACCACAAGCUUUCACCAUCAAACACAUUAUUCAAGAUGGGUCCCAAGGAUUCCUUAUUUUCAAGGAUGUGACUAUAGGAUGUAAGAUAUCACAGCACAUUCAACAGGAUUUCCCAGAUAAGGUGGACGCAUCCAUGGGUGACUGUUUGUGUGCAGUGCCAGUGGUAACUUGCAUGAUGAAAUUUGGGUCACAUCAAUGGAGACAUGGGAUACUGUCUUCAGGAUUACAGUGUCACAUCCUGAGACAACCAUCAGUGGUGAUUGCAGACUACCUUCGAAAUUGUAACGUCACAUCAAGAGACGACCAUAUUUGGUAGCUCUGAGUGGUGACAGCAGAUAUCUUUAAAACUGCUGUAGAUAUGGCUGUCUUCUGGUUUUGUAGGGGGAGAGGUCUCAUAUUUAUUUUUUAACGAUUCCUUGUGAUGGCCAUCGGUGAGGAAAAUCUUCUUACCAAGGAUAUUACAUGUUUUAUUGUGAACUGAACAUUUUUUGGGUUCAACUUAAUCAAUUUGCAAAAUGAAUCAAUAUUAUAAUUAUAAGCAACAAAAUUUCACUUAGUGAUAAUCACACGUUGCACACAUUAGCCUACAGCUGCUCCUGCAGUUUUGAGAAAUGUAUGCAACUGCAAGCAAAAUGUCAAGUGUUGCAGUAUAAGGUAGGCAAUCGCUCACAACACCUUCCUCAAAUAUUUUCUAGGUGUACUUCAUUCACCCACAGUUGAAUAUUCCCUGUCUUCAGGGAUGUGACGUCACAUCCAGAGACGCAUAUUGCAUCCUUUGACAGUGGGGAAAACAAAUUAUUUUGGGAGAUAUUGAGCGGUAUGUGCUUAAUUUGGUUCUGCUGAAGGACGAGAGUUGGUUCUGUUGAUGAUGCAAGGUCUGGCAUGGCAUGGGGAGGACAAUUUUCAAUUCAAGGACAAGAAAUAAUGUUGCAUUGCAUGUUAUUUUUGCAGUGAUUGUUACAAGGCAAUAAAAAUGAUCGUCAUACUGGUA